GGGUGGGCGACUUCCCUGAGAAGCCGCCAGCUGCGACAGGCAUGGGACUCCAUGAGGUGGAGAUUCCUCCCAGUGUGGAAUUCCAACCUUGCUCCACCCUCUCCUGGCCGACUUGAAAGCCUCAAAAUUUCCCUGUGCCUAGGAAAGAGGCUCACCUUCUAGCCUCCCUUGAAGCAAGGAUAUCCAUUUGACCCAAACUGCCCAAGAAGAUUAAUUACAAUAAAA